rnacentral:lncRNA from 1 species
AUGGCUCCCUUAGCAAUCUUCACCGUCUCCUUAUGCUGCUGCUGCUGCUUCUUCUUCUUCUUCUUCCCACAUAAAGUAGCAAGCGCUACCAACUGUGUUGAAUCAACAUGCACACCGGCCGGCGCACGGGUUCGAUUUCCUUUCUGGCUAAGAAACCUUCAACCCUCAAGUUGUGGAUAUCAAGGGUUUGAUCUCUCAUGCAACAACCAAACCAUUCUCACUCUCCCAUCUUCCGGGGACUUCUUCGUCAAGACCAUUAGCUACAGGGACCAAAUCGUAUGGCUCAGCGACCCCGAUAACUGCCUCCCUAAGCGGUUCCUUGACGAUGACGUCAGUCUUCAAGGUACACCCUUCUUAUUCGCUCAGGACCUUGAGACAUACACUUUCCUCAACUGCUCAGCAUCCCAAGCAACAGAGUCUUCAGCCAUCCCUUGCCUCAGUAGUGACUCUUACGACGUCAUUAUCGUGGCAUCGGGUUGGUCAACGUCGUUGUCAACGGCUAAUCAUGCAUCGUCAUCAUCUCUCUGCUCUGUGAUUUCGACAGCUCUGGUUCCACCAAGUUUGGUUGAGGGAUAUCUUAGCUCUAGUCUCCAGUUGGCUUGGAGUGUGCCUGAUUGUAGUUCUUGUGAAGCAAACGGUAUAAUUUGUGACUUGGACAAUGCUACAAGUUCACAAACUAUAUGUUCUCGUUCAAAAUCAGGUAUAAUUGAACAUAUAUUUCUACAUACCAUCGCCUAAAUAUUAUUGCAGAAAAUUUGGUUUAAUGAACUAAGGAAAAUUAAUGCAAUUCAAUUUUCCAAUUUCAGGUCCGUCAGGUCCGUCAGGUCCGUCAGGUCUUUCAAGCGCUGCAAAGAACGGCAUAAUGAUAGGUGUGGGAAUUCCAGCGCUAUUUUGCGUCAUUGGGCUUUCUUUUUAUUUUCACAACAGAAUGAGGGCUCCUGAUCAGCUCCGUCAACCCGUAUCUGCCGAUGUACCCAAUCGGCAACCUCCGGGGCUCGCAAUAUCGGGUCUUGAUGGUCCGACCAUCGAGUCAUAUCCCACAACUGAGCUUGGUGAAACUUGGGAACUGCCAUAUCCCAAUGACAACACUUGCCCAAUAUGUUUGGCUGAGUACCAGGCCAAGGAAACAUUGAGGGCUAUGCCAGAAUGUAACCAUUAUUUUCAUGCUAGUUGUAUAGACGAAUGGCUCAAAAUGAAUGCGACGUGCCCGCUUUGUCGAAAUCCACCAGAGGCCAGCAAAAUAAUAAGUCCUGUGAUUGAGACAUGA